CGGAUCGGAGCUGNAACCCGACUCCGUGAAGCUGGAUUCGCUAGUAAUCGCGCAUCAGCCAUGGCGCGGUGAAUACGUUCCCGGGCCUUGUACACACCGCCCGUCAAGCCAUGGGAGCCGGGGGUGCUUGAAGUGCGUCGCCGCAAGGCGCGCCCUAGAGCAAAACCGGUGACUGGGGCUAAGUCGUAACAAGGUAUC
rnacentral:rRNA from 1 species